AAAUCUCCAUAAUAACACUCUACAGCAGCUGGACAUGAUGGCAGAACUAGUUUCUGAUGACGAUUCUCCAAGACUGUCAGAGGGCUGCCACUACCCAACAGAUAAAAACAAAGAGAACGAUGCAGCAGCGCGGAGGCCUGAAAUGUUAAGGAAUCUUUUCUGUCACAACAAAAACAUAGAGCUACACCAGGUCUGCUCAAAGGAAACCCUCAUCUGGAUGUUUUAAGUGCCCUAACCAGAUGCAGCAACUCCUCUGAUAUUUUUCAUGAAAACGCAGAGGAAAGGCGUUUUAGUCAACGUGUUCAACCCACUCAGACAGGAUCGUGUUGUCCACCCCGCAGCAGCCUGAGGAGUGAAGUGGAGCGCCUGUCCAGAGUGUUGUCCCAGUCCAGCUCUCAAAUAAACUCUGUCCUCUGUCCUCAGCACAAUCAAACGCAUGGAAACUCCACAACAUCCCUUUCUAGUGACGUAAUGCUCCAAGUGUGUCAGCCUCAGAAGUUGAGUCUCAGUUAGCAAGAACUGACAAUACAGUGCUUCUCAAUACAUCAAUGGAGAUUACAUUGAGUAACGCAGUUGAAAUUGUCACCGUGGAAACCAAAGCCAAGAAGAAAGGUCCUUCCUGUGAGACAAAAGGCACAGAGAGUCAACAGGUGGGUUCCAGUCCAGAUGUCCAGAAUGGUUUCAACCACA